ensembl:misc_RNA
UGAAAGAUGCAGGAUUGACAUUUUUAAAUCUCCCUUUUAUCCACAGAGAAGAUGAAGCAUAGUCAGGAAACAUGCAGCUUUCCUCAGAUUUUCAGACCAACAUGCAUUCAUUUGACCUAGAGGGACACCUCUAUGGGAAAGAAAAGCAGUUUAAGUCACCAUUGUCAUUUUAUCCUUGUCCUUG